AUGUGAACGUUGAAGACUGCAUAAGUAGUUAUUUUAUCUGGGUGUCAGGAAGUUGGUGGUUGCUGCGAACCAAUCAGGGUAUGAUAAUGAAAUACCGCAGUUGAGUUUUUGAUAACGGGUGACACCGUUAAUUGUCAAAAGAGUGAAAACUAUUGAUAGAAAUAGUUUUAAUUUGGGUGGUACCACGGAUAAUCGUCCCGAUU
rnacentral:ncRNA from 1 species